rnacentral:rRNA from 1 species
CAAAGAGCGUAAGGGGAAUGCCUUGGCACCAGGAGCCGACGAAGGACGCAGCGAUCUGCGAAAAGCCACGGGGAGCCGAAAGCAGGCUUUGAUCCGUGGAUAUCCGAAUGGGGAAACCCGCAUGGUUAAUAGCCAUGCGACGUAUACUGAAUAAAUAGGUAUGCGUCGGGAACCGUCUGAACUGAAACAUCUAAGUAGGACGAGGAAAAGAAAUCAACCGAGAUUCCGUAAGUAGUGGCGAGCGAACACGGAAGAGGCCAAACCGAAGGUAGCAAUAUCUUCGGGGUACGGACAGUAAACGGCAUUGCGGUAUCUUAGCAGAAGUGCAUGGGACGGCACACCAUAGAGAGUGAUAGUCUCGUAAGCGAAAAGAGAAGGCAGCCAACUGUAUCCAGAGUACCGCCGGACACGUGAAACCCGGUGGGAACAUGGGGGGACCAUCCUCCAAGCCUAAAUACUCCCUGGUGACCGAUAGAGAACAGUACUGUGAAGGAAAGGUGAAAAGAACCCCGGGAGGGGAGUGAAAAGAACCUGAAACCUUAUGCUUACAAGCACCGAGAGCCCAUCAAAGGGUGAUCGGGUACCUUUUGUAGAAUGGUCCGGCGAGUGAAUGUAACUGGCAAGGUUAAGCACUUAAGGUGUGAAGCCGUAGCGAGAGCGAGUCUGAAAAGGGCGCAUGAAGUCAGUUGUAUUCGACCCGAAACCGGGUGACCUACCCAUGUCCAGGCUGAAGUGCAGGUAAAACUUCAUGGAGGGCCGAACCGACUCCCGUUGAAAUGGUAGCGGAUGAGGUGUGGGUAGCGGAGAAAUUCCAAUCGAACCCGGAGAUAGCUGGUUCUCUCCGAAAUAGCUUUAGGGCUAGCCUUGGAAUAGAUUACUGGAGGUAAAGCACUGAAUUGGCUAGGGGCCGAGAGGUUACUGAACCUUAUCAAACUAAGAAUGCCAGAUAAUCGUUUUCCAGGAGUCAGACAGUGGGAGAUAAGUUUCAUUGUCAAAAGGGAAACAGCCCAGACCUACAGCUAAGGUCCCAAAGUAUAGUUAAGUGGAAAAGGAUGUGGAAUUGCAUAGACAACCAGGAUGUUGGCUUAGAAGCAGCCACUCAUUAAAAGAGUGCGUAAUAGCUCACUGGUCGAGUGAUUCUGCGCCGAAAAUUUAACGGGGCUAAACUAUACACCGAAGCUUAGGAUACCGCAAGGUAUGGUAGGAGAGCGUUCUGUACGGAGUGAAGUCGUAGCGAAAGCGGCGGUGGACUGUACAGAAGUGAGAAUGCCGGAAUAAGUAGCGAGAAUUAAGUGAGAAUCUUAAUGGCCGAAAGUCUAAGGUUUUUGGAGGAAGGUUCGUCCGCUCCAAGUAAGUCGGGAGCUAAGGUCAGGCCGAAAGGCGUAGCCGAUGCACAAACGGUUGAUAUUCCGUUACCGUCUACAAUUUAAACAAGGGGACACAUACAAAGCGUUUAACCCGGGCGAUGGUUGACCCGGGCGCAAGGGACUGAAAUAAGAGUAGGGAAGUAAAUGUGGCGUAUGGCGAGAAAAGCUUUGUGUAUAGAAGUAGACGCCCGUACCGCAAACCGACACAGGUGGACAGGAAGAGAAUUCUAAGGCCAGCGGGAGAAGGGUAGUUAAGGAACUCGGCAAAUUGACUCCGUAACUUCGGAAUAAGGAGUGCUCGAAAGAGCCGCAGAGAAUAGGCCCAGGCGACUGUUUAGCAAAAACACAGGUCUCUGCCAAAUCGAAAGAUGAAGUAUAGGGGCUGACACCUGCCCGGUGCCGGAAGGUUAAGAGGAGGAGUGCAAGCUCCGAAUUGAAGCCCCGGUAAACGGCGGCCGUAACUAUAACGGUCCUAAGGUAGCGAA